rnacentral:rRNA from 1 species
GACGAACGCUGGCGGCGUGCUUAACACAUGCAAGUCGAACGGAAAGGCCCUGCUUGCAGGGUACUCGAGUGGCGAACGGGUGAGUAACACGUGGGUGAUCUGCCCUGCACUUCGGGAUAAGCCUGGGAAACUGGGUCUAAUACCGGAUAGGAGCCAUUUUUCGUGUGAUGGUUGGAAAGUUUUUUCGGUGUAGGAUGAGCUCGCGGCCUAUCAGCUUGUUGGUGGGGUAAUGGCCUACCAAGGCGGCGACGGGUAGCCGGCCUGAGAGGGUGGACGGCCACAUUGGGACUGAGAUACGGCCCAGACUCCUACGGGAGGCAGCAGUGGGGAAUAUUGCACAAUGGGCGCAAGCCUGAUGCAGCGACGCCGCGUUGGGGAUGACGGCCUUCGGGUUGUAAACUCCUUUCGCUAGGGACGAAGCUUUUUGUGACGGUACCUAGAUAAGAAGCACCGGCUAACUACGUG